GACAGAGGGUGCAAACGUUGUUCGGAAUUACUGGGCGUAAAGCGAGUGUAGGCGGUCUGAAAAGUCGGAUGUGAAAGCCCCGGGCUCAACCCGGGAAGUGCAUUCGAAACUGCCAGGCUAGAGUGUCGGAGAGGUUGGUGGAAUUCUCGGUGUAGAGGUGAAAUUCGUAGAUAUCGAGAGGAACACCGGUGGCGAAGGCGGCCAACUGGACGAACACUGACGCUGAGGUGCGAAAGCGUGGGGAGCAAACAGG
rnacentral:rRNA from 1 species